AUGUAGGAGUUUGGAAUCUAUUUUUAUUUCAGAAACUUCUUCUUGUAGCUCAUCGACCCUCCGAUCUUUUGUUGUCAGUGAUUGCAAGGAACUUAGAUCACUACCUCAACGGAUGGACACACUCACACGAUCUUUUGUUGUCAGUGAUUGCAAGGAACUUAGAUCACUACCUCAACGGAUGGACACACUCACCGCUCUUGAAUCGAUAACUCUAUGCAUUCUUCCAAAUUUGAAUUUAUCAUUAUGUGAAGGAGUUUUCCUACCUCCGAAUUUACAAUCA
rnacentral:lncRNA from 1 species